CACAAAGGGAAUUGGUAUUCACAACCCAGUCUUGGCAAAAGUCUGUACUUUUCAGCUUGUGCAUGUUCCAGAUUGCCCAAACCAGUCAGUUCUGAUCUGAGAAUAAGAAAGUGACAUGUUUCUCACUUCCCUAACAUGUGAAAGAUAGCUGGAGAUGGAGACAUUAAGUCUCGGUGUAAUGGACAUGCCUUGUGUAACGGGGUCACGGGAGGGCCUGUGGGAGGCCUGGAAGAGCUGCAGAAAGACGGGCGCAACUGCCAGGAACCGUGCCCUUUGGCGCGAUGCUGGUAGCGCAAGAGCUCCGAGAUCUUGGAGGAGCUGCUGCACGGGGGAAAUGAGCCGGGACCGCUCAGCCUUAAGGACAAGGAGGAGAGUAACUUUUGCCUGUGGAUUUUCCCUUUUAGUUUAGGUUAAACGUAUGCCUGUGAUCCAGCAAACUUAAUCGGAGGGUUCCAAGCCCUGUAAAUCCAGAUACUUCCCUUCCCUUCCCUUCUCUUGGUAAAACAAGGGAUUUGAAAAAUCACCAGGUUGAAUCAUGGCGGAACUCUUGCAGUCACUCAUACCAGAGUAUUUGAAGCUCCAUCCAAGUGUAUCCUACAGGUCAGGACAUGCCUUAACUGGUCCCAGAGGUCUCCCAAAUCAGCGGUAUCCCAAAAGCUGUUCAUGAAAAGAAGGCAUCCUUCAGAAAAUGGAAGCUGUGCUGAAGUGAGGAGGACAAAAGGGAAUGCAGACGAAGGAAGGAAGGAAGGAAGGAAGGAAGGAAGGAAGGAAGGAAGGAAGGAAAGCUGGGUAAUCAGGGAGCUAAAGGUGUGUUAGCGGAGAAUAAGGAGGUUGCCGAAAAGCCACAGGAAUUCUUUGCAUCUGUUUUCACUGCCAGCAAUAGGAUGAAAUUCUAGAACUGAUUGGCAGACUGAGAACAAACCACAUCCAAAGAGUAACCCUCCAAGCAUUUUAAAGGAACUCAGACGUGAAAUGGCUGACAUUCUAACAAAAGCAUGCUGCCUGUUUCAGAUAAAUUAUUCCAGAUAAAUUCAUGGAAAACAUCAUUACAAAUAACAUCUUCAAAUAUCCGAAAUGACAGCUUGCUGAAGUAGAAUCCACAGGAAUCUACAUAAAUAAGUCUGUUUUUACUAACAUUUUCACUUUGUUUGAGUCUGGCAUCAAGCAUGUGGAUCAGGUCCUCCGGAAGGCAGACCUGGAUUUUCCAAAGGCUGUUCUUGAAGCCCCUCACCAAAGACUCCUGAUUAUACAUAGCAAUCGGGAUGAGAUAAAAGCCUUCUCUUAUGGAGCAGAAACUGGGGACAAGCCUACCUCCAUGUGUGGAUUCACCCACAGCCAGAAGAACUCCAACUUGCUGGGCUGGUUAGAAGAAUCGCAACUCGGGCUGCUGCCGAUGUGCAUGUGUGGAAACGACGGGCUGGAAUGCUCCUGUUAAGGUCAUUCGGUGCUCAAGAUAAGCUAAGAUAUCGCUGGCAUUUGGAGUGCCGUUCCUGGCCUUCGGGACCACCCACACUUCAGCUUGACCCCCCAGGAGCUUCUGUGUGAUGGAAUCCAAGUCCAGCCCUUCAGAAACCAGCCAUGUCACCCGAUGAAGCUGAAGGGCAGCUGAAAGAAAGGACAUCUUCUAGAAUUAGCUACCGCAAGACGUGCCAGUGGCCACCAACUUGGAUGGACUGAAGGGCGGCCUGCACAAGGACUCUGGAGAAGGGGAUGCCAAGGGCUGCUCGUCUAGAAGGCUCUAUGUGACUUCCAGUUACGGAGAAUGUGUCUUUUUCUCAGUGCACUUGGAAUGGACCAGAACGGAAGUCACAAACAAUCAUAGAAAACAAGAGACACCCCACCCCUUCCACAGCGAACAACGAACUCAACCGAAAAACAAAAAUGAAAAACUUCAAACGAAGCCCAGUGGUCGGGUUUUUUCUUCUUUUUUCUAAAAUCCAUGAUUAAAACC